CCUACGGGAGGCAGCAGUGGGGAAUAUUGCACAAUGGGGGAAACCCUGAUGCAGCGACGCCGCGUGAGUGAAGAAGUAUUUCGGUAUGUAAAGCUCUAUCAGCAGGGAAGAAAUAAAGUCCUUCGGACUUUGGACGGUACCUGACUAAGAAGCCCCGGCUAACUACGUGCCAGCAGCCGCGGUAAUACGUAGGGGGCAAGCGUUAUCCGGAUUUACUGGGUGUAAAGGGAGCGUAGGCGGCAGCGCAAGUCUGGAGUGAAAUCCCAUGGCUUAACCAUGGCACUGCUUUGGAAGCUGUGCGGCUGGAGUGCAGGGGAGGUAAGCGGAAUUCGUGGGGUAGCGGUGAAAUGCGUAGAUAUUGGGAGGAACCCCAGUGGCGAAGGCGGCGUACUGGACUGUAACUGACGUUGAGGCUCGAAAGCGUGGGGAGCGAACAGGAUUAGAUACCCCGGUAGUC
rnacentral:rRNA from 1 species